AUAUCAUGGUGUGGACAUUUUCUCAGUAGAUCAUUAUACCUUUCCCAUGAAUCAUGGAGUUGUUCACCCAGGAUUUGGGAGAAUGCCGUGAUCUCUCUUCUCAUUU